rnacentral:rRNA from 1 species
GAUGAACGCUGGCGGCGUGCCUAAUACAUGCAAGUCGAGCGAACGGACGAGAAGCUUGCUUCUCUGAUGUUAGCGGCGGACGGGUGAGUAACACGUGGAUAACCUACCUAUAAGACUGGGAUAACUUCGGGAAACCGGAGCUAAUACCGGAUAAUAUUUUGAACCGCAUGGUUCAAAAGUGAAAGACGGUCUUGCUGUCACUUAUAGAUGGAUCCGCGCUGCAUUAGCUAGUUGGUAAGGUAACGGCUUACCAAGGCAACGAUGCAUAGCCGACCUGAGAGGGUGAUCGGCCACACUGGAACUGAGACACGGUCCAGACUCCUACGGGAGGCAGCAGUAGGGAAUCUGCCGCAAUGGGCGAAAGCCUGACGGAGCAACGCCGCGUGAGUGAUGAAGGUCUUCGGAGCGGAAAACUCUGUUAUUAGGGAAGAACAUAUGUGUAAGUAACUGUGCACAUCUUGACGGUACCUAAUCAGAAAGCCACGGCUAACUACGUG